GCUGCUGUAGCUCAGUUGGUAGAGCAACUGAUUCGUAAUCAGUAGGUCCCGUGUUCGAGUCACGGCAGCAGCACCA
rnacentral:tRNA from 1 species